CCUACGGGUGGCUGCAGUAGGGAAUAUUGCACAAUGGAGGAAACUCUGAUGCAGCGACGCCGCGUGAGUGAUGAAGGCCUUCGGGUCGUAAAACUCUGUGAUAUGGGAAGAUAAUGACGGUACCAUAUCAGAAAGGACCGGCUAACUUCGUGCCAGCAGCCGCGGUAAUACGAGGGGUCCAAGCGUUGUUCGGAAUCACUGGGCGUAAAGCGGGUGUAGGUGGCUACGCAAGUUGGGUGUGAAAGCCCCGGGCUCAACCCGGGAAGUGCAUUCAA
rnacentral:rRNA from 1 species